rnacentral:rRNA from 1 species
UAGGGAAUCUUCGGCAAUGGGGGGAACCCUGACCGAGCAACGCCGCGUGAGUGAAGAAGGUUUUCGGAUCGUAAAGCUCUGUUGUUAAGGAAGAACGAGUGUGAGAAUGGAAAGUUCAUGCUGUGACGGUACUUAACCAGAAAGGGACGGCUAACUACGUGCCAGCAGCCGCGGUAAUACGUAGGUCCCGAGCGUUGUCCGGAUUUAUUGGGCGUAAAGCGAGCGCAGGCGGUUAGAAAAGUCUGAAGUGAAAGGCAGUGGCUCAACCAUUGUAGGCUUUGGAAACUGUUUAACUUGAGUGCAGAAGGGGAGAGUGGAAUUCCAUGUGUAGCGGUGAAAUGCGUAGAUAUAUGGGGGAACACCGGUGGCGAAAGCGGCUCUCUGGUCUGUAACUGACGCUGCGGCUCGAAAGCGUGGGGAGCGAACAGG